rnacentral:rRNA from 1 species
UGCGUAGGGUGCAAGCGUUAAUCGGAAUUACUGGGCGUAAAGCGUGCGCAGGCGGUUUUGUAAGUCUGACGUGAAAUCCCCGGGCUCAACCUGGGAAUUGCGUUGGAGACUGCAAGGCUGGAGUCUGGCAGAGGGGGGUAGAAUUCCACGUGUAGCAGUGAAAUGCGUAGAGAUGUGGAGGAACACCGAUGGCGAAGGCAGCCCCCUGGGUCAAGACUGACGCUCAUGCACGAAAGCGUGGGGAGCAAACAGG